rnacentral:rRNA from 1 species
UAGGGAAUCUUCCACAAUGGACGAAAGUCUGAUGGAGCAACGCCGCGUGAGUGAUGAAGGGUUUCGGCUCGUAAAACUCUGUUGUUGGAGAAGAACGGGUGUCAGAGUAACUGUUGACAUCGUGACGGUAUCCAACCAGAAAGCCACGGCUAACUACGUGCCAGCAGCCGCGGUAAUACGUAGGUGGCAAGCGUUGUCCGGAUUUAUUGGGCGUAAAGCGAGCGCAGGCGGUUUUUUAGGUCUGAUGUGAAAGCCUUCGGCUUAACCGGAGAAGUGCAUCGGAAACCGGGAGACUUGAGUGCAGAAGAGGACAGUGGAACUCCAUGUGUAGCGGUGAAAUGCGUAGAUAUAUGGAAGAACACCAGUGGCGAAGGCGGCUGUCUGGUCUGCAACUGACGCUGAGGCUCGAAAGCAUG